GCAGAGAAUGAGAUGGGGAUUAGUUUACAAGCUCACAUUUUACACAUGUAAACAUAUGUUUUUGUUUGCUUUUUGUUUCUUUUUGCUAGUACAAAAUUUAAAAAAAAAAGGUUUAUUUUAUAGGGAGUGUUUUCCUAAAGUAUUAUACAUAAAGGGAAGUUGAGCUGUCUGUAGGAAAACAGAAUGUAAUUUUAAUAUUACAGAAGGGUCGAGACUGUGCUUAACAUUUUAAAUUAGAUUAGUACAAUAAGUAAAUACUGCAAGAUAUGACAGCUUCAAAAUUGUAUAUGAACAUCAUGAUGUAGAAGCUCAAUAUUAACACCCAUAGUGAUCAUUUGCUUUCAAGAUUGUCCAAAAUGUUGAGAGAAUACUGCUUAAAUCUUAAUAGAGGAAAAAAAAAAAAAGGACUCAAAUCACUAACUGAAACGUAGCCCUUUCCCAAUGCUGUCAACUUUCAAUUAUCCAUAAUAAUGAAGUGGCAUACUGACAUAUAAAAUGUUUAAAAAAUAAAUAAUUUCAAAAUUAAUUUUGAGAAAUGUCCUUGUACUUAGGUUUAUAGGUAAGAAAUACUAACAUCCCUGAAGUUUGCAGUACCGAUCAAAUGAUAAUUUCUACUUUCUUCUCCCCUCCCUCUCAGUGGGAAGAGACACAGUCACUCACACAUACACACACACAAAUGUACAUUUUUAUAUAUAUGCAGGAAUAUAUGUAUCUAGAAAUCUUUGUAGAACUCCUCGAUAUAUGGAUAUGUCCGAGGUUUCUUGUUUUCUAGAGCUUAAUACAACAUCACUUUGGAAAGGUAAGUGAUUAAUAUGCUGGUCAUAUCUCAUGUUUCCUCUUUGCCAAAUCAGAGCACCUGGGUACUCUUAAACUCCCAAACAUAAUUAUCCAGGAACCCUGAGGUAACUUUAACUUUUGGCAGAACAACAUAAAUGCCAAGCAAACAAUUAAAAAUGAAAGUGGCAGUUAACAAAACCAUAAAAUAUUUUAUCCCUUUAUAUGGUAAUUUGUAGAACAUGACAUGAAAACUUGGGAUGAUCAAGUCAUUUUUUUCUAAGCACUAUGUAAAAUCAGUUUGUUUUAAAAAUAGGUUCCGGGAGUUUCCCAUUGUGGCUCAGUGGCUUAGGAUCCUGAUUAGUAUCCAUGAGGAUGCUGGUUUGAUCCCUGGCCUCACUCAUGGGUUAAGGAUCCAGGGUUGUCGUGAGCUGUGGUGUAGUUCGCAGACAUGGCUCUGAUCCUGAGUUGCUGUGGCUCUGGCCUACGCCAGUGGCUACAGCUCCAAUUGGACCCCUAGCCUGGGAACCUCCAUAUGCCACAGGUGUGGCCCUAAAAGACAAAAAGACAAAAAAAAAAA
rnacentral:lncRNA from 1 species